CUCCCACAAGCAUAAAGCGGGGACGAGUUAAGACCCCAGCGUUGUCUGCCCCUUUUGAGGGAAGAAGCCAAUUCACCCCGGUGACAACAGCUACGGGUACCCAGAUCGAAGCCUCUAUCCCAGCCCGUCUUCCGCCCCUGACUUGCCCUCCCCUUCCUCCAGUCUCACCUCAACCCUCCCCACCCUUCCCGAAGGGGCUCCGUACCUGAUGCUCCUCGAGCUCCUGCACUAGCACCUGAGCAAAAGGGAAACACAGAUAUGAGGAGCAGCUCGGGCCAUCAACCCAUUCCUCCCUCCACACUUAAAGCCCAGCCGCUGACCGUUUGACUAGUCAAGGCCGGCCUUUCCCUCACCCUCAACGGAACUGCUCGUCCCGCUGCCUCGAUUUCCCCACUGGGACCAUUCACCACGACUCCCAGAUCUCUUUCUUCCCCUUACCUGAGCGGAUUUGUUGCAGGGUCCAGACUGCAAGAACCUAGCGAUCAGCUGAGAUCCAGACCUUCUUAGAGAGAACACAGCCAGUGGAGAGUCACUCUAUGGCAGGAAAUAUUCUGUAUUGCCUUACAGGCAGAACUUGCUGAAACUCCAACCUCUGGAAAUUACUGGAACCCUGCAUUCUAGAACUUGCUGGAAACCCACCCUCUGGAAUUGGCCUGCUAGAGUGCCUGAGAAGGAUGUUCAUAGGGAAAUGUUUCAGCAGAGGAACUCUACUACAAAAACCACAAGAGGGAGGGUGCCAGGGGAAGUGGCCUGGUGCUAUUGAAACUGCAACACAGAAGCCAGCCACUGGAGAGAGCUGCACAAGCUGCAGGAACACCCUACCCAGUAAGCCGGCCAGAAGGAGGGAGCAAAACCUUUUCUCUCUGCAACAUCUUUCCAGUUUCCUCUACUGGAAAAGCUUCAUUGCCAGCUGACAAAAGGAAAAAUACUUAAAUGGAUCAGAUCCAUUUUCACAGAGCAGUCAAUAAUGGUGAAUUUGGAGAUGAUAAGCAACAAAUUGAUGAACUGGCACAACUUCCCUGCUACUUUCUUGAUUGUAAUGCCUAGAUAGGGAAUAGGAAAGUUAUUGAAAUGUAUGUGUUCCCAUGAAAUGUGUUUAUUUGUUGUUCAAGAUCAAUACUAAUAAAUGGGGACUAAUGUUCUGAA